UACGUAGGGUGCGAGCGUUGUCCGGAAUUACUGGGCGUAAAGAGCUCGUAGGUGGUUUGUCGCGUUGUUCGUGAAAACUCACAGCUUAACUGUGGGCGUGCGGGCGAUACGGGCAGACUGGAGUACUGCAGGGGAGACUGGAAUUCCUGGUGUAGCGGUGGAAUGCGCAGAUAUCAGGAGGAACACCGGUGGCGAAGGCGGGUCUCUGGGCAGUAACUGACGCUGAGGCACGAAGGUCAGGGGAGCAAACGGG
rnacentral:rRNA from 1 species